CAAUUAAGACUUGGCACCACGACACAAAGAGGGGAGGGGAGUCGAGAGAGAGAAACGACAGCGGAUGAGCGCUGCGUGUCCCGACGGCGCUGUUUGCACCGCGUGAGACGGUUCGCAGUGUACAUAGAAGCCUCGAUGCGGCGUUCACGGGAUCGUCAGUCGAGCGAGGUGCGAGAGCGCGCGCUGUUUUCCCCUUUCCCCUUUCUCCCGAUUGACGACUGGGACCCUCCUUCUCCCCCUUUCCUCCCGCUCUCCCUCGGACCAGGUCGCGCGUCCUCGUCAUUCCAAAGCCGCGCUGCUUGCUGCUUCGCCCAGAAGCCAUUUUCCUAAUCGGCUGCAUGAAGAAGACGGCGAUUUAAAAUGGCGUCGGCGGCGUCUUUCUCUCAAUUAUCGCCUCCUUUCUCUCAGGGGGUUCACCCCCCCGAGCCUUAUUUUUAGAUGGGUGAAUGUACUUAAGUCUUUUCCUGUUGUUUUGUGUAAAAAACUCGAGUUCAUAUAUUUUCCUUGCCUAAUUAAAUGUCAUUAAAGAUGACUUAGUUUUUUCAAGGUGAAUUUCAACACCUUUUAUAGGACUCUGUGUGCUCUUAAAGUUCAGAAGAAUAGUAUUUGGUUAACGUUCUGGUGUCGCACUUGGUAUUAAAAUAUCCAUCUGUUUCUGUGUCCUUGGAAUUAAAAUAGUGUGCUUUUUCUCGAGUUGCUUUCGUCUGCUUGCCAGGUAUUUCAGAACACUUAAGGAACAAAAUAUUGACUAGAUAAUGGCAUCAACCUUUCUCAGGAGAACAGUCAUAGUUCAGAACAAUCGGCACUCAGUAUCUUACUGCAAAAUGGCUACAAAGAGACAAACUGUAUAGGAAAAGUAGUAGGGAGAGAUGAAUCUGCUGCUAAUUGAAAUAGUAAGUAUUGGGUUGGAGUGUCUAUGCUAAGAACUGUCAGACGUGUUAUCAUGUUUAAUAGUAGAAAUGCUAAAUAGACAAAAAUAAAAAAGUUGAGUAGAUAAGUGUGGAAUUUUAGCUCAAAAUACAUUUUAUACCUUUGCCUGUUUUUACAUAUUUGAAUUGUGUUAGAGAAACUGGUCUGUUUUUUGCCUCUUGUUUUUUAAUAAAUUGAGAAAUGAAUGUUUUACAAAUGAAUUUGGCAGCAAAUUGUUUUCACCACUUUGAGAGCACCUGAAAUAUAUCGGGAAGAUACAUGCUGAAAGAGAGUUCAGAGAAGGAGGGGGAAAUCACUCGGUGUGUGAAUGACUCCAGGAAAAAAGAUACAUUCGGAAAAGCUGGAAAAUAUGCUUGUAGCAAGACUAGGUAAGUAAAUUUUCCCAGUGGUGUAGACAUCACAGGAAGAAUUAGGAUGAAAUUUUAAAAGAUUUAGCAUAAGAUGUACCACUGUCAAACAUGUUUAGAAUGUUGGUGUAAGCUACAUUAGAUCAUUGACCUAUAUCCAGUUUUAUUCUUGAGGCUCUGCAUCUUGUGAAAGAACAAAAGGCUAACCAUGUAUUCAAGGAUGUACAAUAUAAUAAAAUAAUUUGAACUGAAAACUGGCUCUCACUUGAUGGACUGCAUGACUGCAGAACUUCUGGACCACCCAUAAAAGACAGCAGAAGAAUUUGACACAUCUGUUCAUCCAAGAAGCCUUUCAUUUUAUAUCCAAGAAUAUGCAAAGACUCCAGGUGGCUUCAUGAAGAAAUUUAAAGUUUGUGGGCUGAGAACCUAUAUCUGAAGAACUAGAUUUCAAGUUAAAAGUUUUUUUAAUCUGCCAGCAAGUAGCAUAUUAAGUUUCUGGUCUAUUCGUUAAACUCUGCGUUGCAGCUUGUAGUGUUAGUCUUGGAAUACUCUCUCCAGGGAGACGUGCCUGGCACUGAUACCUUUCAGAGGACCUUUUCAUUUUCUCAGGCUUCUUGAAAUCCUUGAUUAUAAUCACUUUUAAUGCUUUGGUUAUUUUUCAUUAUUGAUGUCAUUACCGCCUACAUUUAUUGACAGUACCCAUGUUGAGUCGCUUUGAGAACAGCUCUGGGACUGAAAAUCAAAAUAUUCAGUACAGGCAGUCCCCGAUUUGUGCAGGAGUUGCAUUCUGGGGGUUGCAUGAGACAGCAGGACAUGCAUAAACCUACACUCCUGCCCCGCAUUAUAUCUCCUUUUCCAGCCACUUCCAGGUCAUUGUGAUGUGCAAAGUUGUGCAGCUGCUGAACAAGUGUAAAUCUGUUGCCUGUAAUUAAAAAACAAUGCUAAGCUUAAGAACAUAUACAAAGCAUAGGACCUAUUUCUAUCUUUAGGGCAUAUAAAGCAUUCCUGUAACUGGAUUAUAAAGACUGAUUUCUUAUGAA